rnacentral:lncRNA from 1 species
AAUAGAGAUAAGUGAUAUUAGGUAGUGGUUGGAGUUUACAGAUGACACCUUCAUUACACUUUGGUACAUUUGAAAAAGGUUUUUGGUUUUCCUUAACAAUAUGUAGGUUUGAAUAACAUAUUCUGUAGUGAUAAGAUUCUGCCUCAUAAUGCACGUUUAUGUGAUUGGAACACGUCUCACAACAGAAUCCUGCGGAGCCACUGCUCAAAAGCAACAAUUCAGCCUCUGCAACAAUAACAUUGUCUAAACAUUCAUAUAAAAAACACUCUGGAUAACAGUGUAGAAGCCAUUCUAAAAAUAAUUCUCGAAGUUCCAUGGAAUUAACCCUGCUCCGUUUGAGAUCUUGUUUCUAUGUAAAAAUAAAACUUAGAUUUUCAUUACAAUAGAUAAUAUUAGAAAAAUGUAUUUGAAAAUAAAUUAACAACGUUAUCAGUUUGUAGAAGCAAACAAAUCUGUAGUUCUCAUGGCAGUCGUAUCAGGCAAGACAACCAGAGUUUUAAAGCUAUUCUAAUUUCCUAUAAUUCA